rfam:Musa acuminata subsp. malaccensis Doubled-haploid Pahang (DH-Pahang) genomic chromosome, chr10
AAGCAGGCGAUGAUGAAGACAACAGUCAUGCACCACUCUGAUGAGGAUUCUCGUCUCAUGUGCUGACAACAAGUCUUAUACCCAUCUCCCUCUGAGCCGCUU